GGUCUCGCAAAAGGCAGUGUAAACAAGACAAAAUUGCUUUGUUAGCAUUCUCUCGGACUGCUGGAUCUCCUGAAUGCUAAAUUCAUCCUCUCCCUUGUACGGCAAGGAAAGGAGCCCUUCUUUAGUUUAAAGAACACACAGCAUAGUAUGUGAAAAGCAGUUGCAGCAGCAGCAUGCAUGCAAGCAUUCAGUAGAUCCUGCUAAAAUGUGUGCGCGCUGGCAGGGCAUGGCUCCAAAAGGUUGUAAAAGGUUAACUAGACCUAAUGCUAAAACGCAUCACAUCUGCUCUUGACAUGUUUGAUUGCUUUUGUUAUCUGCUAGCAGGUUGUGCAGCAUCCUAUUGAUUGUGUUAUGCAUGCUGAUCAGUAAUUGGUUGUGCUUUGGAGGAGUUAACAGUAAUGAGUGUGCAAAGUGUUGCUGCUUCAUAUGAUGUGUGUAGUAACUUUUGUGUUGUAGUUUCAUAUGAUGCGAGUGGUAACUUUGUAAUCAUAUUGCCCAUACUAUUGUACCAAAACCACGUUGCAAAGUGAUGAUCUCUUGCAAAUUAAAUUUCAAGUAAUUAAGCACAGC